GACGAACGCUGGCGGCGUGCUUAAUACAUGCAAUUCGAACGGGAUCCAAUUAGUAGCAAUACUAAGGAAGAUCUAGUGGCGAACGGGUGCGUAACACGUGAGCAACCUGCCUCGAAGACUGGGAUAACACCGGGAAACCGAUGCUAAUACCGGAUACCCCCACGGGCCCGCAUGGGUCUGUGAGGAAAGGAUUCCGCUUCGAGAGGGGCUCGCGGCCUAUCAGCUUGUUGGUGGGGUAAUGGCCUACCAAGGCAACGACGGGUAGCUGGUCUGAGAGGACGAUCAGCCACACUGGGACUGAGACACGGCCCAGACUCCUACGGGAGGCAGCAGUAGGGAAUCUUGCGCAAUGGGCGAAAGCCUGACGCAGCAACGCCGCGUGGGGGAUGAAGGCCUUCGGGUUGUAAACUCCUUUCAGUGGGAACGAAAUUGACGGUACCCACAGAAGAAGCCCCGGCUAACUACGUGCCAGCAGCCGCGGUGAUACGUAGGGGGCGAGCGUUGUCCGGAUUCACUGGGCGUAAAGAGCUCGUAGGCGGCUUGAUAAGUCGGGUGUGAAACCCCCAGGCUCAACCUGGGAUCGCCACUCGAUACUGUCAUGGCUAGAGUCCGGUAGGGGACCAUGGAAUUCCUGGUGUAGCGGUGAAAUGCGCAGAUAUCAGGAGGAACACCAGUAGCGAAGGCGGUGGUCUGGGCCGGUACUGACGCUGAGGAGCGAAAGCGUGGGGAGCGAACAGGAUUAGAUACCCUGGUAGUUCACGCUGUAAACGUUGGGCACUAGGUGUGGGGAGCUAUCGACGCUCUCCGUGCCGCAGCUAACGCAUUAAGUGCCCCGCCUGGGGAGUACGGCCGCAAGGCUAAAACUCAAAGGAAUUGACGGGGGCCCGCACAGCGGCGGAGCAUGUGGCUUAUUCGACGCAACGCGAAGAACCUUACCUGGGCUUGACAUGUGGGUUAAG
rnacentral:rRNA from 1 species